rnacentral:lncRNA from 1 species
AAAACACAGAGACAGAGAUAUAAAGCAACAUGAAAUAUGACUGAAAUAAAGUAAUAGGGUUCAGGGGGUUCUUCUCUAAAUCGAGAGAGAUGGCCUUCUCCCUUUACAAAGUAGCAGAAUCUCAAGUCUCCAACUCUAAGGUCUGGUUCCUUGUCUCCAAAACAGCGUAGUAUGAUAAGGAAAAAUAGAAAAAGAAGAUAUAUCCAAACCACAGGCGGCUGGGAGAGAAAAUAGAGAGAUUAGGGCAAAUCCCGAAAUAGGUUGU